UACGUAGGGUGCAAGCGUUAAUCGGAAUUACUGGGCGUAAAGCGUGCGCAGGCGGUUAUGUAAAACAGGGGUGAAAUCCCCGGGCUUAACCUGGGAACUGCAUUUGUGACUGCAUAGCUAGAGUACGGUAGAGGGGGAUGGAAUUCCGCGUGUAGCAGUGAAAUGCGUAGAUAUGCGGAGGAACACCGAUGGCGAAGGCAAUCCCCUGGACCUGUACUGACGCUCAUGCACGAAAGCGUGGGGAGCAAACAGG
rnacentral:rRNA from 1 species